rnacentral:rRNA from 1 species
UACGGAGGAUCCAAGCGUUGUCCGGAUUUAUUGGGUUUAAAGGGUGCGUAGGCGGAUGAUUAAGUCAGUGGUGAAAGCCGGCAGCUCAACUGUCGAACUGCCAUUGAAACUGAUCGUCUUGAAUCUAGUAGAGGUAGGCGGAAUGUAUCAUGUAGCGGUGGAAUGCGUAGAUGUGAUACAGAACACCAAUGGCGAAAGCAGCUUACUAGGCUAGUAUUGACGCUGAGGCACGAAAGCGUGGGGAGCAAACAGG